rnacentral:lncRNA from 1 species
AAAAAAAACGCGAAAUGCUCUGAUUUCAGUCUCACUCCCUUGCAGAGCCCAAAAUCCUAGCCUCUCUUCUCUCUCACUCCCUUGCUCGCCCCUGUUUUCGAAUGUGACAUGGCCACCGACGGCUUCCCACCCCUCCCACCCCUCUAUCUUUUGCUAUAAACCGAAAAGAUAUAUAGAUCUACAUCUACAUCUUCUCCGGUGGGCCAACCAAACCCGUCUUUCCGAAAUGAGUACUACUAGUUUAAAGGCCGUAGCAAUCUCCGCCACCACCUACUACUAGUUUAAAGGCCAUAGGAAUCUCCAACUCGGUCUUUGUUUUCUACGCGAAAGUGACCGAUUGGCUGUUUCCAAAAGAGGUACUCAUCGAUUCAGUCCUCCCCUAAUCUGUUAGGGUUAGGUCUAAUUGUGUUUUGAUCUGAAAUAUUAUGUACAUCGGUUUGAUUUGGUUGUUUCAUCAUUCUCAAGUGUAAUUAUAUUCAAGUUAUUUAGUAUAUUGUUGAAUCUAUUGGUUUAUUUGUCAAGUGUUAUUUUUGAUUUAAUCUAUUUAGUUUUUUUUGGUCGCCACACUCAUCCUGUCUGGUUUGCGCUUAAAGUCUUACUGGGAUACUUAAUCUGUUAGUUUGAGGUAUUUUGAGAGCCGGACAAGAAUGAACCUCUUCUUUUCCGGAAGUUCCAACAUGAUAAUGAGAAAAAGGCAGGAUUUGAUUCAGUUUUUUCAGCAUUUGAUUUUCAUCUUACUCGUAGCCUCUGAAAAAAACAAACAUUUUCUGUUGUGCAUAAAAGAAAUAUUUAAAUUAAUUUAGAUAAACCUUAGUUUAUAAGGUAUCAUGUUGUAUUUAUUUUUAGUUAUUCAAGCAAUCAUAUAGGAAUCAUUUGAUUACUGAAUAGAAGGUUUAUCUAUGUAGUUCAGAUAUUUUGGCAUUUGGGUCACAGUCAUGCUAGACUUGUGGUGAACUUAUGUAUGUCUUAAUUUGGAUUCCUGCAAAACUAAGGUACUGCUAAACUGUAUUAAAGAUGUUGCCACCUGAGUCAUCUCAUGAGGACAAUGUUUACAUGGCCAAGCUCGCCGAAAGGCUGAAAGGUAUGAGGAAAUGGUUGAGUUCAUGAAAAAAUUGGUUAGAGUGAACAUGGUUUUAAGAUAUUAAAUGCUUGUUUACUUGGUUCUAUACAUGAAUCUAGAGAAUGUCUAUAAAAGUUUUCUUUACUAAUAAUGUUUGAAAACUUUAUGGCAGCUUUGAUACCUAAAAUUAAAAGUUGAUCAAUCUCCAUGUUGUGUUGUGCUGUGGAUUAUCAACACACAAUGGAGCUUCUAUUUUAUUAGUUAGAGAGCAAGACGUUGUAAAAAGGCUUGGUAGAAAGUAUAAGGCCUUUUUGCCCAGUCAUGGAACUUGAACCAUUCCAUAUAUAAUUUUGAUAAAAAAAAAAAGUGGCCAAUUCCCCCCAAAAACUUCCCCCAACGACAAAAUGGUUUAGCUUUUUGCCUUUAUCCUCCUCUUUCUUAAUUUAGUGUAUAAGGUUUUUUGCAGGGCCUUGAUCUUGCUUGUGUUUAUGUUUUAGACCAUGUUACUGUUUUAAUGUUGUUGUCUGACAUGUAGGCUACAUGACCAUGCUUCUAGAAUCUUUAGAAUCUUCUCAGAAUCAUAGAAAUUAGUGGUCAAAGUUGUGUGGACGAAACUACCGGAUGAAGUUUCUAGGUAACCCAGAAAUCUUCAUAAGCAGUUUCUGGGCACUACUUUGACCGGCCAAUAUCUCUUGCAUAUGUUGAUGUUAUGAUGACCGAAUGAUAUGUUAUUUUACUUGGACAUGUAUUCUACAAUUAAGAAUCUUUAAAUCAUUCAAACUAGACCUAUAGAGGAAGUUACAAGGAUCGAAAGUGGGCACCUAAGACUGUUCUUCAAUUCUGGAAAACCCAGAAAUUGAAGAACAUGUCUGACAACGUUUUUGAGAGCUUAGAUCUCUCAGAUAAGAUAUGUGUUGGCCAUGAACUUGAUUUAUUAUAAGUAGUAUUACACUUAUACUACAAUCUAAACACUCUAGGUUGGCCAGAAUACUUUAGGAUCAUAGAGAAAAUUAUGGUCAAACCAGACACCCUACACACUGACAAGCAUUUCUGGGUUCGUCGCUAUAGGGCCAUUUAGCGACACUUAAUUUCUGAAAAUUAUAUUUUUAUUAAAUAAUUAGAGAAAAUUAGUUUUUAAUUAUUAAAAAUAUAAAAUAAAUUACUAAAAAUUAUUUUAAAGCCUAAAAAUUAGUUUUUAAUAAUUUUGAAAAUAUUUCAUAAAUAUUUAAUAUUUUUGAAAUAUUAAUGGUAAUUAAUUUAUUUAGUUAUUAUAUUAAAUAAAUUAUUUAAAAAUGAUUUUAAUACUUGAAAAAUCAUUUAAAAUUAUAUUACGGUAUAAGAAAAUAUUUUAAGUUAUUUUUAAUGACUUUUAAUAUUUUGUAAUGAAUUUCAUUAAUAAAUUAAUAUUAAUGAUAAUUAAGUUAUUUAAUAAAUGUAUUAAAUAAAUUAUGAAAAAUAGAAUUAAUGAUAUAAAAUUAUAUAAAAAUGAUUUAAAGGUUAUAAAAAUAUUUUCAGUUAUAAAAUAUAACUUUUGAUAUUUUGUCAUGAAAAAUAUUAAUAUAUUAAUAAUAUUUGAUUUAUUUAAUAAUUAUAUUAAAUAAAUUAGUUUAAGAAUAAAUUUAAUAUUAUAAAAAUCAUUUUAAAUAAACUAAGGUGUUUAAAAAUAUUUUAAUUUAUAAAAUAUAACUUUCAAUAUUUAAAGGUAAAAUUCAUUAAUUAUUUAAUAUUAAAUGAUAUUUGAUUUAUUUAAUAAUUAUAUUAAAUAAAUAGUUUAAAAAUGAUUUUAUUAAUUUAAAAAUUAUUUAAAAGGGAUAUAUUUGAAUUAAAAAUAUUUUAAGUUAUAAUUAAUGACUUUUAAUAUUUUGGUAAAUAGUGCAUUAAUAUUUAAGUAUUAAUGCUAAUUAUUUAAAAAUAAUUUUAAAUAUUUUAAAAAUCAUUUAAGGGUAAUAUUAAUACUUUAAAAAUAUUCUAAGUUAUUAUAAAUAACUUUAAUAUUUUGGCAAUAUUAAUUAUAAUAGAAUUAUUUAAUAUUUAAAUAAUUUUAUAAUGAUUCCAGUGUUUAAAAAGUCAUGAUAAAUUAUAAUGAUUAUUUAAAAAUUAUUAUAAGGUUAUGAAAAAUAAUAUGACUGAUAUUUACAUCUAUUGAACUACAGAAUAGAGUUUUAAACUCGAUAAUUACCCGAUAAAGCUGUCUGUACGCCGACAUGUUUUAGGAAUUGAUCUGGACUUAGAUAACUGGACUAGAUACGUGUUUGUUUGUGAUUCAAUGACUAUUAAAUCUGUGUGACAAUGUGCUUAGGUUAUGCGCUGAUUGCAAAUAACAGUAUUAUGUGUUAUGAUAUGUUAUUCUAAUCGAUAGAAUGAUCUUAUUAAUGAUAGGUUUUGGUAUAAAAGAUAAAAUUAAGUUGCGUAAUUGUAAGCAGCAGACCAGGCAAGUAUCCUACCUUUGCAUUUACUUUAUGCAAUGGACAUAAGUAAGAAAGUUUCAGAAUUAUAUUAUAAUUGUGCCAGAAUAUUAACACUAUUGUUAUCGACUAUGUAGCCGAUCAUUAUUUAUUAGUACAGUAUUAUUGUAUAAUUCAGAUAUUUAUUCUGUUCGUUAAUUUUUAAAUAUGGUUAUACAAGUGUCCCCACUUGGAUAAUCAUUGUAUUUAAUCACAUAUUGAUAUAUACCUAUUGAUCUCCAUUAUGUAUACAUUAAUUAAAAGUUGUCUAAGCUAAUUGACCCAGCUAGACAAAGAUUUAGAUAUAUCAUUGAACAUGAUAAAACUUUAUUGUAUCCAACCGAAUUGUUUUGGUUCGGAUUUCAGACUAAGUAUGAACAUCCCAAACAUGAAAAAACUUUUAUGCGCCUAAGGCAGAAAAGAUGAACGAUAAUAUCGUUCUUGUAUGUAAUAUUGAUCAAUACAGGGCACAUUGGGCAUAUCACCCUCGUGUCUGUAAGUUAUGACAAUUUGUGGAUGAAGUUCAGCUAAACCUUAUCGAAAAUUGAAAACAAAGUUCAUAGUAUGUCGACUACUCUUCAAAUAUAGUCAAUACGUAGUUUCAAAAUUUUGAUAUAGAAUUGUUAUGUUAUUAUUAUUGGUUCAAUUUACUUCACAACUGUUGAGUCGUUGUAGAAGUGUCGUACAAAGAAAAUAUUUACUUCUUUCAACUUAUAUUUAUAAUUGCUAUUACUUGCUGGGCACUCAAAUGCUCAUCCUUGCUUAAUUUAAAUAUUUUUAGCUAAGUGUGAACAACCAGAAGGUUCGACCGAGAACAAUGGAAAAAGGAAAGCAAAUAGAAUAAGUUUAAUUGUAUCUUUUGUAAUAGUUAGACAAUAUUUAGACCAUGAUAUUUAUUAUCUAUCAUGUAAUGUAUUGUAGUAAAGGUUGCGUACUUAGGAUUAGAUUCUGAUCUAUGUAAAUUAAGUUUGAUAUUUAUAUUAUUAUUAUUAUUAGUAUUAUUUCCGCUCAUAGAAAUGGUAUCGUAAAGCACUGAAUUCGGGUUUCAAGUACCUGAAUUUGGGGGCGUUACAAAUGUUGCAUUUACAUUUUUGAUGAAUGUGUACGAAUGCAUUUUACUUACUG